rnacentral:rRNA from 1 species
GCCUAGCCGUAAACUUUGAUAAAAAUAUACAAUUGAUAUCCGCCAGGGUACUACAAGCGCCAGCUUAAAACCCAAAGGACUUGGCGGUGCCUCAGACCCACCUAGAGGAGCCUGUUCUAUAACCGAUAACCCCCGUUCAACCUCACCACCUCUUGUUUUACCCGCCUAUAUACCACCGUCGUCAGCUUACCCUGUGAAGGCUCCAUAGUAAGCAAAAUGGACAAAACCCAAAACGUCAGGUCGAGGUGUAGCGCAUGGGGUGGGAAGAAAUGGGCUACAUUCUCUAAACUAGAGUACUACGAACCACGCUGUGAAAUCAGCGUCCGAAGGUGGAUUUAGCAGUAAACAGAAAAUAGAGAGUUCUCUUGAAACUGGCUCUGAGGCGCGC